rnacentral:rRNA from 1 species
GAUGAACGCUGGCGGCGUGCCUAAUACAUGCAAGUCGAGCGAACGGACGAGAAGCUUGCUUCUCUGAUGUUAGCGGCGGACGGGUGAGUAACACGUGGAUAACCUACCUAUAAGACUGGGAUGACUUCGGGAAACCGGAGCUAAUACCGGCUAAUAUUUUGAACCGCAUGGUUCAAAAGUGAAAGACGGCCUUGCUGUCACUUAUAGAUGGAUCCGCGCUGCAUUAGCUAGUUGGUAAGGUAACGGCUUACCAAGGCAACGAUGCAUAGCCGACCUGAGAGGGUGAUCGGCCACACUGGAACUGAGACACGGUCCAGACUCCUACGGGAGGCAGCAGUAGGGAAUCUUCCGCAAUGGGCGAAAGCCUGACGGAGCAACGCCGCGUGAGUGAUGAAGGUCUUCGGAUCGUAAAACUCUGUUAUUAGGGAAGAACAUAUGUGGAAGUAACUGUGCACAUCUUGACGGUACCUAAUCAGAAAGCCACGGCUAACUACGUG